rnacentral:rRNA from 1 species
CCGCUCGGUGGCAGUAAAGGCUUCAGUACGACCCAGUCAGAACCACUAAGUCUCAAAGCCCCGACGAGUAGGGUGGCGUGCCGGUGCGCGUUGAAGGCCAAGACGUGAGUCAGGCUGGAGCCGCCGGUAGUGCAGAUCUUGGUGGUAGUAGCAAGUACUCUGGUGAACCAACCUGGAGCUGUGAGGUCUGGAUUAGGGUUCCAUGUCAACAGUGAUUGAACAUGGGUGAGUCGAACCUAAGCCAACUGUGAAAGCAGUGACAUCCCGACAAAGGGGCACUAUAUAUGUGCUGUACUUACACCCCCAAACAAAGCUCUCGUAUUGCUCUCUCUCUCGCACUCUCUCUCUGACGAUAAGGUGGCUGGCACGGAAUAUGGGCACACACGGUGAUCACUACGGAGUGUGAGUGUGUGCACCAAUCCGAUUACGCAAUUUUUACGAAAUGUGAGCACACACACAAUGAUCACUUUAAAUAAGUGAGUGUGACAAGCUCUUGAGGCUGAUGGUUACGGAAUAUAUGGCAGCACACACACAAUGAUCCAUACAAAUACGUAUGAGUGUGUGUGCAUUGGUUUUGUUACGCUCAUAAGCGUUGUGGCAUGUGGAUAAACGAUAAAGCAUAAAACGAGAGAGAGAGAAACCGAGUGGGUGAGCGUGAGUGUUGCUCCUGCAUGAGCACCCCUGCGUCUGGUUCUAUGUCUGGCGAAAGGGAAUGGGGACUUUGUUCCUUGACCGGUCCUGGCACCCUCGAUUGGCUUUGCCAAUUAAUGGUCCAUGCAAAUGGAACCAGGCCACAGCCGCCGGCAGUCGCCCGAGGAAGAGUUUUCUUUUCUGCUUAACGCACGAGGUCAUCCCUGGAAACAGUUCGGCUGGCGAAAGGGUGCCCCGCUGCGGCAGAGCGCCACGACUGUCGUGCGCGUCUCGGUGUUCCUGCUGAUCCGUGAAGACGUGGUCGAGGGGAUUGCUCUUGUAUCAACGAAACGCCCGACAAGUUCGGGACGGACCGUACCCUAUAUCCGCAUCUGGUCUCCAAGGUUCUUAGCCUCUGCAGAGUCAGACACAUGUAGGUAAGGGAAGUCGGCAAACUCGAUCCGUAACUUCGGGAAAAGGAUUGGCUCUGAGGGCCGAGCUGGGCCGGGCCUUGCCUGCAAAGCAGUACCUAUAGUGACCGGAGUUUCAGGAGUGCGAGGGGCUCUAGUAGCUGCUUGUGCGUGUGUGCGUUCGCGCGUGCACGCGUGUGGGCACGAACGAGUCCACCGCUCCGCUCCAACCACGAACGGCUGUGACGGCAAGGGCUCUGGGCGGGAGCGAUCGAUCCGUUGGCCCCCAGCGUGUCUGGGUGGCGGCGGUGCUCCGUCUGACCCAUACGGCUCCAGCGGCUAGCGGCUAACUCAGAACUGUCAUGGACCAAGGGAAUCCGACUGUCUAAUUAAAACAAAGCGUCGUGAUGGCCCCUGUUGGGUGUUGACGCGAGCGUGAUUUCUGCCCAGUGCUCUAA